rnacentral:rRNA from 1 species
GAUGAACGCUGGCGGCGUGCCUAAUACAUGCAAGUCGAGCGAACAGACGAGGAGCUUGCUCCUCUGACGUUAGCGGCGGACGGGUGAGUAACACGUGGAUAACCUACCUAUAAGACUGGGAUAACUUCGGGAAACCGGAUCUAAUACCGGAUCAUAUAUUGAACCGCAUGGUUCAAUAGUGAAAGACGGUUUUGCUGUCCCUUAUAGAUGGAUCCGCGCCGCAUUAGCUAGUUGGUAAGGUAACGGCUUACCAAGGCAACGAUGCGUAGCCGACCUGAGAGGGUGAUCGGCCACACUGGAACUGAGACACGGUCCAGACUCCUACGGGAGGCAGCAGUAGGGAAUCUUCGGCAAUGGGCGAAAGCCUGACGGAGCAACGCCGCGUGAGUGAUGAAGGUCUUCGGAUCGUAAAGCUCUGUUAUUAGGGAAGAACAAAUGUGUAAGUAACUAUGCACGUCUUGACGGUACCUAAUCAGAAAGCCACGGCUAACUACGUG